CUUGUGGCACCUUAGAGACUAACAAAUUUAUUAGAGCAUAUGCAUCCGAAAAAGUGGGCUGUAGUCCACGAAAGCUUAUGCUCUAAUAAAUUUGUUAGUCUCUAAGGUGCCACAAGUACUCCUGUUCUUUUAACUUCACAGCACAUUAUAGUGGUAGGGCCCUGUGAUUGCUGGAUGUGAUAAGUUUUCUUCAAAUCAUCGCCAAAUCAAUGAGAAAUGAUGCAAGUUAGACCUGGUGUUGGGCAGCCUUUGGGAAACCAAGGGAAUUAAUUAAAAAUAUCAACCAUGAUGAAGAGCUCAAGAAAAUAAAUACAUAGGAGGCUUGGAAUGUCUUCAAAUCAACUAUACAAAAAUGGAAAUUUGCAAUCCAAGCAAGGAAAAAAACUUGUUGGGAAAGGCACGAGAUCCAACUGGAUGAAUAACCACCUCAAAAAGUUUGUGCACAUUCAAGGCCUGCUUUGCCUUAUAUUUGUGUCAGGUGGACUCACCAUAACCAUGCAUUAAACAAGUUCCAGGAGUUCAUCAAGGAGCUGGCCAAGGUGCAGCAACAG